rnacentral:lncRNA from 1 species
UUUCUCAAAAUUUCACACAAUUAAGCAUCUCUUGACUCUUCUUUUACUCAUAAAGAUUUUGUUUUUUUAUAAUAUUUUGAUAUAACUCUUUGUAUGAUAGUCGAGAGAUGAGUUUAUCUGUUUUGCAGCGUGCUAAAAAGUUUCGAUGUUCAGAAUGAUCUUCUGAUCAGGGACUUGGUUUGGAGGACUAUGCUACUCUUCUUUCUUUCUUUUUUUUUUUGGUCAAGUACUCUUCUUUCUUCAUUCUUAGAUUUUUUCUACACCUAUUUUUCUCAACCUUAUUAACUUUUUUUUUUUUUAUUGUAAGUGGAGAAAUUAAAG